rnacentral:rRNA from 1 species
CACGUAGGCGGAUAUUUAAGUCAGGGGUGAAAUCCCAGAGCUCAACUCUGGAACUGCCUUUGAUACUGGGUAUCUUGAGUAUGGAAGAGGUAAGUGGAAUUCCGAGUGUAGAGGUGAAAUUCGUAGAUAUUCGGAGGAACACCAGUGGCGAAGGCGGCUUACUGGUCCAUUACUGACGCUGAGGUGCGAAAGCGUGGGGAGCAAAACA